GUUGAUCGAAGUGGAAAAAGACGAUAUAUAAAAAGGUGUGGGACAUUCCAAAAGGGAGCACUCCACGAAUGGACAACAGUUUGCAGGACCUCUCAGGCACCCACAACCAGCGUCUGAUCGGGAUGGAGCACCAACCCCAUUCCAGGAAGAGGUCCAGUCUGCCCCGGGUCAGAACCACUUCUAUAGCAACUACACAACUGUGUAUGCACUUAUCAUUAUUGAUAGCCAGUCUGAGCCAGAAGACACAAUGGAGCAAAGCACAGAAUACCUGACUGCGGCACACAUUGUUGCAGAACUCUCUGCAAAAAUAACAAAUACAUCUUGCAGCAGGUUCAAUAUUAAUAGAGCCAGUGUGUGCGAUGGAGCAAUCCGCGGCUUCAAAGGUGCCUCAUUCGAUCCCUCUCAUGAGAUGUCAGUUAAGUUCACUGAUGAUGAGGGACACACUGAGGAUGGAGGGGACAAUGGUGGUCCCAAGCGUGAGUUCCUGACCCUCCUUAUGGAAUGCCUGAGAAUGAAGAAAACAUCACGUCAGCAACUGUUUGUGCCCC